UACGUAGGGUGCGAGCGUUAAUCGGAAUUACUGGGCGUAAAGCGUGCGCAGGCGGUUUUGUAAGACAGAUGUGAAAUCCCCGGGCUUAACCUGGGAACUUCAUUUGUGACUGCAAGACUAGAGUGCGGCAGAGGGGGGUAGAAUUCCGCGUGUAGCAGUGAAAUGCGUAGAGAUGUGGAGGAAUACCGAUGGCGAAGGCAGCCCCCUGGGAUAACACUGACGCUGAUGUGCGAAAGCGUGGGUAGCAAACAGG
rnacentral:rRNA from 1 species